GAUAAUCACAGUCAUUUCCACUUCUACCAAUAUCAGUUGUAAUAGAAAUACAAUUACUUAUAUGAGUAAAUAAAUAGCGCAAAUAUUGUUCAUAUUCAUGCUUGAAUUAUAAAUACCUUAACUGUUGCGCGAGGCCAACCUUUAAAAGUAGGAUUAAAUACUCUUCUAAUAUAUUGAAUCCAAUUAGGAUUAGAAGCGAAAUUAUAAGGCAAGCACAUAACAGUAAUCAUUUUCGCUAAUUCUUCACGAUCCUUAUUUGGAUCGUAAUAUAGAAUACCUCCGUUGACAGUGUUUAUUCCUGGUUGAACUAGAUUUGAACCAGUACUUGGGUUAACUUGAGAAUCAACACUUGUCCCCCCC
rnacentral:lncRNA from 1 species